GGUAAUGCCGGAUGUUCCACAUGAUCGCAUGUGAUUGUGGGAAAGAUUCUAUCGGCGUGGGAUGGGGUCGCGUCCUAUCAGCUUGUUGGUGAGGUAACGGCUCACCAAGGCUUCGACGGGUAGCCGGCCUGAGAGGGCGACCGGCCACAUUGGGACUGAGAUACGGCCCAGACUCCUACGGGAGGCAGCAGUGGGGAAUAUUGCACAAUGGGCGCAAGCCUGAUGCAGCGACGCCGCGUGAGGGAUGGAGGCCUUCGGGUUGUAAACCUCUUUUGUUUGGGAGCAAGCCUUCGGGUGAGUGUACCUUUCGAAUAAGCGCCGGCUAACUACGUGCCAGCAGCCGCGGUAAUACGUAGGGCGCAAGCGUUAUCCGGAUUUAUUGGGCGUAAAGGGCUCGUAGGCGGCUCGUCGCGUCCGGUGUGAAAGUCCAUCGCUUAACGGUGGAUCUGCGCCGGGUACGGGCGGGCUGGAGUGCGGUAGGGGAGACUGGAAUUCCCGGUGUAACGGUGGAAUGUGUAGAUAUCGGAAA
rnacentral:rRNA from 1 species